CGCGUAGGCGGCUUUGUAAGUCAGAUGUGAAAGCCCGGGGCUUAACCCCGGAAGUGCAUUUGAAACUACAAAACUUGAGUAUGGGAGAGGAGAGCGGAAUUCCUGGUGUAGAGGUGAAAUUCGUAGAUAUCAGGAGGAACACCGGUGGCGAAGGCGGCUCUCUGGACCAAUACUGACGCUGAGGCGCGAAGGCGUGGGGAUCAAACA
rnacentral:rRNA from 1 species